GAUGAACGCUGGCGGCGUGCUUAACACAUGCAAGUCGAACGAAGAUGCCGGAGUGCUUGCACUUUGGCAGACUGAGUGGCGGACGGGUGAGUAACGCGUGGGUAACCUGCCUUAUACAGGGGGAUAACAGUUGGAAACGACUGCUAAUACCGCAUAAGCGCACGGUAUCGCAUGAUACAGUGUGAAAAACUCCGGUGGUAUAAGAUGGACCCGCGUCUGAUUAGCUUGUUGGUGAGGUAACGGCCCACCAAGGCGACGAUCAGUAGCCGGCCUGAGAGGGUGAACGGCCACAUUGGGACUGAGACACGGCCCAAACUCCUACGGGAGGCAGCAGUGGGGAAUAUUGCACAAUGGGGGAAACCCUGAUGCAGCGACGCCGCGUGGAGGAAGAAGGUCUUCGGAUUGUAAACUCCUGUUGUUGAGGAAGAUAAUGACGGUACUCAACAAGGAAGUGACGGCUAACUACGUG
rnacentral:rRNA from 1 species